GACGAACGCUGGCGGCGUGCUUAACACAUGCAAGUCGAGCGGAGCGGCGAACGGGUGCGUAACGCGUGAGUAACUGCCCCCCUCCCUGGGCUAACAGUUGGAAAAGGCUGCUAAUACCGGAUAGUGGGGGAUGACUCGCGUCCGAUCAGCUUGUUGGGGGGGUAGUGGCCUACCAAGGCGACGCCGGGUAGCCGGCCUGAGAGGGCGACCGGCCACAUUGGGCUGAGAUACAGCCCAAACUCCUACGGGAGGCAGCAGUGGGGGAUAUUGCGCAAUGUGGGAACCCCUGAUGCAGCAACGCGCGUGCGGGAUAACGGCCGUCGGGUUGUAAACCGCUUUCAGCCAUGACGCGGUAGUGGCAGAAGAAGCACCGGCUAACUACGUGCCAGCCGCCGCGGUAAUAC
rnacentral:rRNA from 1 species